rnacentral:rRNA from 1 species
UAUAAGACUGGGAUAACUUCGGGAAACCGGAGCUAAUACCGGAUAAUAUAUUGAACCGCAUGGUUCAAUAGUGAAAGACGGUUUUGCUGUCACUUAUAGAUGGAUCCGCGCCGCAUUAGCUAGUUGGUAAGGUAACGGCUUACCAAGGCAACGAUGCGUAGCCGACCUGAGAGGGUGAUCGGCCACACUGGAACUGAGACACGGUCCAGACUCCUACGGGAGGCAGCAGUAGGGAAUCUUCCGCAAUGGGCGAAAGCCUGACGGAGCAACGCCGCGUGAGUGAUGAAGGUCUUCGGAUCGUAAAACUCUGUUAUUAGGGAAGAACAAAUGUGUAAGUAACUAUGCACGUCUUGACGGUACCUAAUCAGAAAGCCACGGCUAACUACGUGCCAGCAGCCGCGGUAAUACGUAGGUGGCAAGCGUUAUCCGGAAUUAUUGGGCGUAAAGCGCGCGUAGGCGGUUUUUUAAGUCUGAUGUGAAAGCCCACGGCUCAACCGUGGAGGGUCAUUGGAAACUGGAAAACUUGAGUGCAGAAGAGGAAAGUGGAAUUCCAUGUGUAGCGGUGAAAUGCGCAGAGAUAUGGAGGAACACCAGUGGCGAAGGCGACUUUCUGGUCUGUAACUGACGCUGAUGUGCGAAAGCGUGGGGAUCAAACAGGAUUAGAUACCCUGGUAGUCCACGCCGUAAACGAUGAGUGCUAAGUGUUAGGGGGUUUCCGCCCCUUAGUGCUGCAGCUAACGCAUUAAGCACUCCGCCUGGGGAGUACGACCGCAAGGUUGAAACUCAAAG